rnacentral:rRNA from 1 species
AGAAUCUUUCGCAAUGCCCGAAAGGGUGACGAAGCGACGCCGCGUGUGGGAAGAAGGCCUUCGGGUUGUAAACCACUGUCGGGAGUUAAGAAAUGCAAGGAUAUUAAUAGUGUCUUUGCUUGACUAAGGCUCCGGAGGAAGCCACGGCUAACUCUGUGCCAGCAGCCGCGGUAAUACAGAGGCGGCAAGCGUUGUUCGGAAUUAUUGGGCGUAAAGAGCACGUAGGCGGCUAUGUAAGUCGGUUGUGAAAGCCUUCCGCUCAACGGGAGAACAGCAUCCGAUACUACAUGGCCUGAGUGCGGGAGGGGAGAGUGGAACUUCUGGUGGAGCGGUGAAAUGCGUAGAUAUCAGAAGGAACGCCGGCGGCGAAAGCGGCUCUCUGGCCCAUAACUGACGCUGAGUGUGCGAAAGCUAGGGGAGCAAACGGGAUUAGAUACCCCGGUAGUCCUAGCCGUAAACGAUGGGCACUAAGUAGAGGGGUUUUGAUUAUCUCUCUGCCGGAGCUAACGCAUUAAGUGCCCCGCCUGGGGAGUACGGCCGCAAGGCUAAAACUCAAAAGAAUUGACGGGGGCUCGCACAAGCGGUGGAGCAUGUGGCUUAAUUCGAUGCAACGCGAAGAACCUUACCGGGGUUUGACAUGGUAGAAGUAGAAGCCUGAAAGGGUGACGAACGGUAUCCAGUCCGUAGCUAUCACAGGUGUUGCAUGGCUG